rnacentral:snRNA from 1 species
ACAGGUAAGAUGAUUAGGAGAUACCAUGAUCAUGAAGGUGGUUUCCCCAGGGCAAGGCCUAUCCAUUGCACUCCGGAUGUGCUGGCCCCCUGAGAUUUCCCCACGUGUGGGAAACUUGACAACAUAAUUUAUGGUAGUGGAGAACUACU